GAUGAACGCUGGCGGCGUGCCUAAUACAUGCAAGUCGAGCGAACAGACGAGGCGUUUGCUCCUUUGACGUUGGAGGGGGAGGGGUGAGUAACACGUCGUUAACCUACCUAUAAGACUGGGAUAACUUCGGGAGACCGGAGCUAAUACCGGAAAAUAUUUCGAACAGCAUGCUUCGAUAGUGAAAGAUGGCUUUUGUAUCGCUGAUGGAUCGGCACGCGCUGUAUUAGUUAGUUGGUGGGGUAAUGGAUUACCAAGGCGACGAUACGUAGCCGGCCUGAGAGGAUGAGCGGCCAAACUGGGACGGAGACACGGCCCAGACUCCUACGGGAGGCAGCAGUGGGGAAUAUUAGAAAAUGGGGGAAACCCUGAUCUAGCCAUGCCGCGUGAGCGAUGAAGGCCUUAGGGUUGUAAAGCUCUUUCAGCUGGGAAGAUAAUGACGGUACCAGCAGAAGAAGCCCCGGCUAACUCCGUG
rnacentral:rRNA from 1 species